rnacentral:lncRNA from 1 species
GCAAAUCUUAAUCGGUUCAUCGGCUAUAGCUUCUAAUAGAAUGGUGGUAUCAUGCUCCUUAGCCAUCAUCUGUAUUUCAAUAUCAUCAGACCUACUGGUCGUCUUUUGAUCAUCACUCAUGUCUUGGCAUAUCUUAAUUGUCUUAUCAUUUGUAGCUUCUGAUCGAAUGGUGAUAUUUUGCUCCCUGUCCAUCCUCGGUAUUUCAAUAUCAUCAAGUUCACUGAUCAUCUUGUGAUCAUCAGUC